rnacentral:rRNA from 1 species
CAGUAGCCGCGGGAAAACGAAGGGGGCUAGCGUUGUUCGGAUUUACUGGGCGUAAAGCGCACGUAGGCGGAUCGAUCAGUCAGGGGUGAAAUCCCAGAGCUCAACUCUGGAACUGCCUUUGAUACUGUCGAUCUGGAGUAUGGAAGAGGUGAGUGGAAUUCCGAGUGUAGAGGUGAAAUUCGUAGAUAUUCGGAGGAACACCAGUGGCGAAGGCGGCUCACUGGUCCAUUAUUGACACUGAGGUGCGAAAGCGUGGGGAGCAAACAGGAUUAGAUACCCCCGUAGUCCCUGUCUCUUAUAC